AUUAGGGUUUGAUCCUGGCUCAGAAUCAACGCUGGCGGCGCGCUUAACACAUGCAAGUCGAACGAGAAAGCCCGCAAGGGUGAGUAAAGUGGCGUACGGGUGAGUAACACGUGGGUAAUCUACCUUUUGGUGGGGAAUAACCCUGGGAAACCGGGGCUAAUACCGCAUAAGCUCGAAAGAGGAAAGGAGCAAUUCGCCGAAAGAGGAGCCCGCGGCUGAUUAGCUAGUUGGUGAGGUAAAGGCUCACCAAGGCAAUGAUCGGUAGCCGGCCUGAGAGGGCACACGGCCACACUGGCACUGAAACACGGGCCAGACUCCUACGGGAGGCAGCAGUGGGGAAUCUUGCACAAUGGGGGAAACCCUGAUGCAGCGACGCCGCGUGAGCGAUGAAGCCCUUCGGGGUGUAAAGCUCUUUCGGCAGGGACGAUAAUGACGGUACCUGAAGAAGAAGCUGCGGCUAACUACGUGCCAGCAGCCGCGGUAAUACGUAGGCAGCGAGCGUUGUUCGGAGUUACUGGGCGUAAAGAGUGCGUAGGCGGUUUUCUAAGUUUGGUGUGAAAUCUCCCGGCUUAACUGGGAGGGUGCGCCGAAGACUGGAAGGCUUGAGUAUGGGAGAGGUAAGCGGAAUUCCUGGUGUAGCGGUGAAAUGCGUAGAUAUCAGGAGGAACACCUGCGGUGUAGACGGCUUACUGGACCAUAACUGACGCUGAUGCACGAAAGCGUGGGUAGCAAACAGGAUUAGAUACCCUGGUAGUCCACGCCCUAAACGAUGCAUACUUG
rnacentral:rRNA from 1 species